ensembl:lncRNA
UCACUAUAAAGGAGAGACAAGAGGGGAAGAGAAAUCACUAUGGACACAUUUUCAGAGAGAUAUGUUGGAGAUGGCUUUACUGUAAUAUGACUGAUAUGACUGAUAUGACUGAUUAUGACUGAUAUGACUGAAAUGACUGAUAUGACUGAUGUUACUGAUAUGACUGAUAUGACUGUGAUAUGACUGAUAUGACUGAUAUGACUGAUAUGACUGUGAUAUGACUGAUAUGACUGAUAUGAAUGUGAUAUGACUGAUAUGACUGUGAUAUGACUGAUAUGACUGAUAUGACUGAUAUGACUGUGAUAUGACUGAUAUGACUGAUAUGACUGAUAUGACUGUGAUAUGACUGAUAUGACUGUGAUAUGACUGGUAUGACUGUGAUAUGACUGAUAUGACUGUGAUAUGACUGAUACGACUGUGAUAUGACUGAUAUGACUGUGAUAUGACUGAUAUGACUGUGAUAUGACUGUGAUAUGACUGAUAUAUGACUGAUAUGACUGAUAUGACUGAUAUGACUGAUAUGACUGAUGUGACUGUGAUAUGAUUGAUAUGACUGUGAUAUGACUGAUAUAUGAUGGAUAUGACUGUGAUAUGACUGAUAUGACUGAUAUGAUCGAUAUGACUGUGAUAUGACUGAUAUAUGACUGAUAUGACCGUGAUAUGACUGAUAUAUGACUGAUAUGACUGAUAUGAUUGUGAUAUGACUGAUAUGACUGAUAUGACUGUGAUAUGACUGAUAUGACUGAUAUGACUGUGAUAUGACUGAUAUGAAUGUGAUAUGACUGAUAUGAAUGUGAUAUGACUGAUAUGACUGAUAUGACUGAUACGAAUGUGAUAUGACUGAUAUGACUGAUAUGACUGUGAUAUGUCUGAUAUGACUGAUAUGACUGUGAUAUGACUUAUAUGACUGAUAUGACUGAUAUGACUGUGAUAUGACUGAUAUGAAUGUGAUAUGACUGAUAUGAAUGUGAUAUGACUGAUAUGACUGAUAUGACUGAUACGAAUGUGAUAUGACUGAUAUGACUGUGAUAUGUCUGAUAUGACUGUGAUAUGACUGUGAUAUGAUCGAUAUGACUGAUAUAUGACUGAUAUGACUGAUAUGACUGAUAUGACUGAUAUGACUGAUAUGACAUAUGAUUUGAUUUAUCUGUUUUAUGCGGGAUGGGUCACCAUUGAGACCAGGGUCUGUGUGAACAUGAACAUACAAUAAAUAAUAUCUAUACAAUCAAUACAACAUUUAUCAAAACAACUCUCACGUAUCACCUCCCUUAACCAUCAAUCAAUCAAUCAAUCAAAUGUAUUUAUAAAGCCCUUCUUACCUCAUCUGAUGUCACAAAGUGCUGUACAGAAACCCAGCCUAAAACCCCAAACAGCAAGCAAUGCAGGUGUAGAAGCACGGUGGCUUGGAUAAACUCUCUAGAAAGGCCAAAACCUAGGAAGAAACCUAGAGAGGAACCAGGCUAUGUGGGGUGGCCAGUCCUCUUCUGGCUGUGCCGGGUGGAGAUUAUAAGAGGACAUGGCCAAGAUGUUCAAAUGUUCAUAGAUGACCAGCAGGGUCAAAUAAUAAUAAUCACAGUGGUUGUAGAGGGUGCAACAGGUCAGCACCUCAGGAGUAAAUGUCAGUUGGCUUUUCAUAUCUGAUCAUUAAGAGUAUCUCUACCACUCCUGCUGUCUCUAGAGAGUUGAAAACAGCAGGUCUGGGACAGGUAGCACUUCCGGUGAAAAGGUCAGGGUUCCAUAGCCGCAGGCAGAACAGUUGAAACUGGAGCAGAAGCACGACCAGGUGGUCUGGGGACAGCUAGGAGUCAUCAGGCCAGGUAGUCCUGAGGCAUGGUCGUAGGGCUCAGGUCCUCAGAGAGAAAGAAAGAAAGUAAGAAAGAAAAAAAGAAGGAAAAGAGAGAAUUAGAAAGAGCAUACUUAAAUUCACACAGGACACUGGAUAAGACAGGAGAAAUACUCCAGAUAUACAGACUGACCCCCGACACAUAAACUACUGCAGCAUAAAUACUGGAGGUUGAGACAGGGCAGACAUUGUGGCCCCGUCCGGCGAUACCCCCGGACAGGGCAGAAUAUCACCCCACCCACUUUGCCAAAGCACAGCCCCCACACCGCUAGAGGGAUAUCUUCAACCAUCAACUUACUAUCCUGAGACAAGGCCGAGUAUAUCCCACGAAGAUCUCCCCCACGGCACGACCUGCAUCUGAACUGUCCAAUGGGAAACCAGUAAAUCUCAUUUCAAGGUGGCCUGAAGGCUUUUCCAUGAGUUGUGGGCAUAAAAACUAAAAGCAUUUUUUCCCCAGGUCAGUGGAGACCCGCGGGAACCAGAAUCCAGAACCAGCCAGUCCAGAUAUACGUGAGCCUCUGAAGAACCGCUUUAUAUACAGAGACUGCCAGCCAACAACACUAUACAAAAUGCAUUGAUGUGUACGAGAAUUGUCCCCAGUGAUGAAACACAAUGCUGAAUGUAAAGGUUUUAUAAACAGAGGUUAGAGGCAGGCAGCCUAGUGGUUAGAGUGUAGAGGAGGCAGGUAGCCUAGUGGUUAGAGUGUAGAGGCGGCAGGUAGCCUAGUGGUUAGAGUGUAGAGGGGGCAGGUAGCCUAGUGGUUAGAGUGUAGAGGCAGGCAGCCUAGUGCUUAGAGUGUAGAGGCAGGCAGCCUAGUGGUUAGAGUGUAGAGGAGGCAGGCAGCCUAGUGGUUAGAGUGUAGAGGCAGCAGGUAGCCUAGUGGUUAGAGUGUAGAGGUGGCAGGUAGCCUAGUGGUUAGAGUGUAGAGGGGGCAGGUAGCCUAGUGGUUAGAGUGUAGAGGCAGGCAGCCUAGUGGUUAGAGUGUAGAGGCAGGCAGCCUAGUGGUUAGAGUGUAGAGGGGGCAGGGUAGCCUAGUGGUUAGAGGGUAGAGGCAGGUAGCCUAGUGGUUAGAGUGUAGAGGCAGCAGGUAGCCUAGUGGUUAGAGUGUAGAGGUGGCAGGUAGCCUAGUGGUUAGAGUGUAGAGGAGGCAGGUAGCCUAGUGGUUAGAGUGUAGAGGAGGCAGGUAGCCCAGUGGUUAGAGUGUAGAGCUGGCAGGUAGCCUAGUGGUUAGAGUGUAGAGGGGGCAGGUAGCCUAGUGGCUAGAGGCAGGUAGCCUAGUGGUUGGUGUAGAGGGGGCAGGUAGCCUAGUGGUUAGAGUGUAGAGGCGGCAGGGUAGCCUAGUGGUUAGAGUGUAGAGGUGGCAGGCAGCCUAGUGGUUAGAGUGUAGAGGCGGCAGGGUAGCAUAGUGGUUAGAGUAUAGAGGGGGCAGGUAGCCUAGUGGUUAGAGUGUAGAGGGGGCAGGUAGCCUAGUGGUUAGAGUGUAGAGGCGGCAGGUAAACUAGUGGUUAGAGUGUAGAGGGGGCAGGUAGCCUAGUGGUUAGAGUGUAGAGGCGGCAAGGUAGCCUAGUGGUUAGAGUGUAGAGGCGGCAGGGUAGCCUAGUGGUUAGAGUGUAGAGGUGGCAGGCAGCCUAGUGGUUAGAGGGGAGAGGCAGGCAGUCUAGUGGUUAGAGUGUAGAGGUGGCAGGUAGCCUAGUGGUUAGAGGGGAGAGGCGGCAGGUAGCCUAGUGGUUAGAGUGUAGAGGUGGCAGGCAGCCUAGUGGUAGAGUGCAGAGGUGGCAGGUAGCCUAGUGGUUAGAGGGGAGAGGCGGCAGGUAGCCUAGUGGUUAGAGUGUAGGGGCGGCAGGUAGCCUAGUGGAUAGAGUGCAGAGGUGGCAGGCAGCCUAGUGGUUAGAGCGUUGGGUCCACUAACCGAAAGGUUGCUAGAUCGAAUCCCCCGA